rnacentral:rRNA from 1 species
UACAGAGGUCUCAAGCGUUGUUCGGAUUCAUUGGGCGUAAAGGGUGCGUAGGUGGCGGGGGUAAGUCAGGUGUGAAAUCUCGGGGGCUCAACCCCGAAACUGCACUUGAUACUGCCUUGCUCGAGUACUGGAGAGGAGAUUGGAAUUUACGGUGUAGCAGUGAAAUGCGUAGAUAUCGUAAGGAAGACCAGUGGCGAAGGCGAAUCUCUGGACAGUUACUGACACUGAGGCACGAAGGCCAGGGGAGCAAACGGG